rnacentral:rRNA from 1 species
AUUGAACGCUGGCGGCAUGCUUUACACAUGCAAGUCGAACGAGUGGCGGACGGGUGAGUAAUUUAUCGGAACGUGCCCAAUAGCGGGGGAUAACUACUGGGAACGGUAGCUAAUACCGCCUACUAUCGGAUGAGCCCAGAUGGGAUUAGCUUGUUGGUGGGGUAACGGCGCACCAAGGCGACGAUCCCUAGCUGGUCUGAGAGGAUGAUCAGCCACACGGGGACUGAGACACGGCCCAGACUCCUACGGGAGGCAGCAGUGGGGAAUAUUGCACAAUGGGCGCAAGCCUGAUGCAGCCAUGCCGCGUGUAUGAAGAAGGCCUUCGGGUUGUAAAGUACUUUCAGUAGGGAGGCGUUACCUACAGAAGAAGCACCGGCUAACUCCGUGCCAGCAGCCGCGGUAAUAC